rnacentral:rRNA from 1 species
UUUGGGUGGAUGAGUGGCGAACGGGUGAGUAACACGUGAGUAACCUGCCCCUUCUUUGGGAUAACGCCCGGAAACGGGUGCUAAUACUGGAUAUUCACUGGUCUUCGCAUGGGGGUUGGUGGAAAGGGUUUUCUGGUGGGGGAUGGGCUCGCGGCCUAUCAGCUUGUUGGUGGGGUGAUGGCCUACCAAGGCUUUGACGGGUAGCCGGCCUGAGAGGGUGACCGGUCACAUUGGGACUGAGAUACGGCCCAG